rnacentral:rRNA from 1 species
GCAAAACGCGAAGAACCUUACCUACCCUUGACAUGUCUGGAAUCCCGAAGAGAUUUGGGAGUGCUCGCAAGAGAACCGGAACACAGGUGCUGCAUGGCUGUCGUCAGCUCGUGUCGUGAGAUGUUGGGUUAAGUCCCGCAACGAGCGCAACCCUUGUCAUUAGUUGCUACGAAAGGGCACUCUAAUGAGACUGCCGGUGACAAACCGGAGGAAGGUGGGGAUGACGUCAAGUCCUCAUGGCCCUUAUGGGUAGGGCUUCACACGUCAUACAAUGGUCGGGACAGAGGGCUGCCAACCCGCGAGGGGGAGCCAAUCCCAGAAACCCGAUCGUAGUCCGGAUUGCAGUCUGCAACUCGACUGCAUGAAGUCGGAAUCGCUAGUAAUCGUGGAUCAGAAUGUCACGGUGAAUACGUUCCCGGGUCUUGUACACACCG